rnacentral:rRNA from 1 species
AUUGAACGCUGGCGGCAGGCCUAACACAUGCAAGUCGAGCGAGCGGCGGACGGGUGAGUAAUGUCUGGGAAACUGCCUGAUGGAGGGGGAUAACUACUGGAAACGGUAGCUAAUACCGCAUACCAUCAGAUGUGCCCAGAUGGGAGUAGCUAGUAGGUGGGGGAAUGGCUCACCUAGGCGACGAACCCGAGCUGGUCUGAGAGGAUAACCAGCCAAACUGGAACUGAGACCCGGUCCAGACUCCUACUGGAGGCAGGAGUGGGGAAUAUUGCCCAAUGGGCGCAAGACUGAUGCAGCCAUGCCGCGUGUGUGAAGAAGGCCUUCGGGUUGUAAAGCACUUUCAGCGGGGCGGCGUUACCCGCAGAAGAAGCACCGGCUAACUCCGUGCCAGCAGCCGCGGUAAUAC